UCAUCUAAAAACUUACAGUUAUCUAUGAGGUUUGAAAGCUAAAUUCGGUUCCAUGGAGACCCUUCUGGCUCAAUUUUAGGCGGAUGCACUCACUCAUAUACCUCUUAGGCACAAUGAGCAAGUGAACACUUUAGCAAAGCUAGGAGAUGAUAUGAUUCUCUUCUCCAAGGCCUAUAUGAUCUGGUAUCAGAGUGGUGAUUGGUAUCACCAUAACUAGGGUUUGAUUAUGAUGAUGAGCAACGGUUGUUCCCAGAGUAUCAGAUAUAAAGACAUGCGCUAGACACGACACCCGUAUCUUUGUCCAUGUAACACUAGAAGUACAACUUUAUUUAUUGGAUCAUAUUUGCAACUCCUCAAAAGGAUAUCCUCCUUUUCCUUAGGGAGGACAUGGUCAGACAAUGAGGCAUAAUACUAAUAUUUAUAGAUUAGCCUCAAGGUGUCGUAGAUUUUUUUUUUGGGUUAAUUUAGU
rnacentral:lncRNA from 1 species